GAGCGGGUAGCUCAGUGCCAGAGCAGCCGAUUCAUACCCGGUACAGACGUCGGUUCAACUCCGACCCCGCACA
rfam:Streptomyces sp. Termitarium-T10T-6 genome assembly, contig: Ga0115253_10785